CCUACGGGAGGCAGCAGUGAGGAAUAUUGGUCAAUGGUCGCAAGACUGAACCAGCCAAGUCGCGUGAGGGAUGAAGGUACAGCGUAUCGUAAACCUCUUUUAUCAGGGAAUAAAGGCGGGGACGUGUCCCCUGUUGUGUGUAUCUUAUCAAAAAGCAUCGGCUAACUCCGUGCCACGAGCCGAGGUAAUACGGAGGAUUCGGGCGUUAUCCGGAUUUUUUGGGUUUAAAGGGUGCGCAGGGGGGCUGUUAAGUCCGCGGGGAAAGGCGGGGGCUCAACCCCGGAAGUGCCGUUGAAACUGGCGGUCUUGAGUUGGAGUGAAGAAGGCGGAAUGCGUGGUGUAGCGGUGAAAUGCUUAGAUAUCGCGCAGAACUCCGAUUGCGAAGGCAGCAGGCCGGGGCCACACUGACGCUGAGGCACGAAAGCGUGGGUAUCGAACAGGAUUAGAUACCCCUGUAGUC
rnacentral:rRNA from 1 species